rnacentral:tRNA from 1 species
GCCGAGAUAGCUCAGUUGGUAGAGCGCUUCCCUGAAGAGGAAUAGGUCCCCGGUUCGAGCCCGGGUCUCGGCACCA